rnacentral:lncRNA from 12 species
AUGGCUGACAAAGCCUCACAUAUUUACCUCUUGGCCCUUUACAGAACGUUUGUGGAUGUCUGGCCUAGGAUCCUGAGAUUCACGGAGAAUUCUUUGGGCCUGUGUCCUCAUUGUCCACCCUUGGCAGUCUCAGUGUCAUACCUGAGCAGGGGCUGUGUACCAAAAGCACUGGCUGUGGUACAGGGGCUGGUGGAGCAGGGGCUGUAGAGCAAGAGCCCCCCUGAUGGGAAGGAUACAAGUCGGAGGGAUGUUGGUCUCCACUUCUCUACCUUCUCAAGUACCGUGGUACGUUGUGGGACUUCGAAGUCAAGAAUGAUUGCCAGCCAAAUCUUCCA